CUGUCAAAUGCACACAUAUGGGUGACUAGCAAGCUACCAACCUGGUUAGGUGGGCGUCAUGCCAGGCACGAUGACAACACGGCUCUUCCGAAGGCAGCAUCACAUCUAGACAAGACGUCCAGCUUGUAAUGCGAGACGAACGUCAUGGGUGUCGCCCAGGUCGCUGCGCGGCAUAUAUCUUCCAGGGGAACACCCCUCAUAAAAGCGUGUGUCGUCGACACUGCCCUGGUGGAGUGUCCCUUCACCAUAGCCGGAGGAUCCCGACGAGCAAGCUGGUUCUGAUAUGGUUGGGACGGACGAAUUCUCCAGGCUGUCAGACGGAGGGAUUCCGCGUCUGGGUGCCGGACAAGGCCAUCCUGUGUGGUAAGUAUGUCCGGUGUGUACUGGAGGUGCCGGAACUCGCCCUUCGACAUCUGGAGGAGGGGCCCGAACCAUGGCUGUCGUGGCCACCAGGGUGUCAGCAGUAUACAGUUGGUCCUGUCGUCUAGCACUUUGGACAAAGUUCGAGGUAUGAGUGGGAUCGGAGGGAAGGCAUAAAGAAGGCCGGGGUUCCAGGUGUACAGGAACGCGUCCCCCAGGCAUCCCCUUUCCAGGUUCUUGGGGGAGCGAGCACAGAACAGGUUGCACUGAGCGUUGUUCGAAGUGGCGAACAGAUCCACUGUUGGGUGGCCCCAGCGAGCGAAGAUUGGUGAGAGUGUCUGGGGUCUCACCUUCCAUUCGUGGCAGGAAUUUGGAGUCCGACUCAAGGUGUCUGCUAGUUCGUUCUCCUCCCCUGGAAGGUAAACGGCCAGCAAAUGGACGUUGCGGCGAAGGCACCAGUGCCAAAUCUGCAGAGACAGGUUGAUGAGCCUCCGUGUGAGUCCCUCCUUGCUUGUUGAUGUAAAAUUGUGUGGUCGUGUUGUCCGUUAGCACCCGGACCACCUGACCCCGAAGAGAUGGCUCGAAGGCCCGGAGCGCCUUGAGAACAGCCAACAUUUCCAGGUAGUUGAUGUGAUGUUUUUUCUCUGUUGCAGACCACGACCCCUGGAUUCUGAGGGUGCCGAGAUGGGCGCCCCAUCCCAGUAAUGAGGAGUCCGUUGUGAG
rnacentral:lncRNA from 11 species